rnacentral:rRNA from 1 species
UGGGGAAUUUUGGACAAUGGGCGCAAGCCUGAUCCAGCCAUGCCGCGUGCGGGAAGAAGGCCUUCGGGUUGUAAACCGCUUUUGUCAGGGAAGAAAUCUUCUGAGUUAAUACCUCGGGAGGAUGACGGUACCUGAAGAAUAAGCACCGGCUAACUACGUGCCAGCAGCCGCGGUAAUACGUAGGGUGCAAGCGUUAAUCGGAAUUACUGGGCGUAAAGCGUGCGCAGGCGGUUUUGUAAGACAGAGGUGAAAUCCCCGGGCUCAACCUGGGAACCGCCUUUGUGACUGCAAGGCUUGAGUGCGGCAGAGGGGGAUGGAAUUCCGCGUGUAGCAGUGAAACGCGUAGAUAUGCGGAGGAACACCGAUGGCGAAGGCAAUCCCCUGGGCCUGCACUGACGCUCAUGCACGAAAGCGUGGGGAGCAAACAGGAUUAGAUACCCUGGUAGUCCACGCCCUAAAACGAUGUCAACUGGUUGUUGGGAAGGUUCCUUCUCGGUAACGUAGCUAACGCGUGAAGUUGACCGCCUGGGGAGUACGGCCGCAA